CAGACAAAAAAUAUAAAGCUAGCAAAACUCUAAAAUCAAAGUAGAUUUGAAAUAUCAAUCAUGAGUUUUCCCACCUAGGCUCGGUCCCAAUUCAAUAGCUUCAGUCUUACGGCACCGAUCAAAAGUAAAACACCUACAUAUUUUUUUUAUUUAAUUUUGUCUUUAAAAUGUUCAUUGGUCCAGUUCAAAAAGAGCACCUCCACAUGAUGAUCCUUGGCUGUGGUUGGCCGUGUGGAUCUCUGAGUGGACCCUGCUGCGGUGGAUGCUGUGGCAGCUUGUGCGGUGGCUGCGGCGGUUGUUGCUAAUCUUGAACGAGCUAUUAAAGACCUUUGGACCUGGACCAAUGCACAUCAGUUGCCAGGAUCUUUGCGAAGCAAAUGAAACCACAAUUAACAUCUGCAAGCAUGUGCAAAGUCUCGGCAUGAGGAAUGUUUAAUAAAUUGUUGUGAGACGUUA